UACGGAGGGAGCUAGCGUUGUUCGGAAUUACUGGGCGUAAAGCGCACGUAGGCGGCUUUGUAAGUUAGAGGUGAAAGCCCGGAGCUCAACUCCGGAACUGCCUUUAAGGACUGCAUCGGCUUGAACGUCGGAGAGGUAAGUGGGAAUUCCGAGUGUAGAGGUGAAAUUCGUAAGAUAUUCGGAAGAACACCAGUGGCGAAG
rnacentral:rRNA from 1 species